rnacentral:rRNA from 1 species
AUUGAACGCUGGCGGCAGGCCUAACACAUGCAAGUCGAGCGGAUGAGAGGAGCUUGCUUCUCGAUUCAGCGGCGGACGGGGGAGUAAUGCCUAGGAAUCUGCCUAGUAGUGGGGGACAACGUUUCGAAAGGAACGCUAAUACCGCAUACGUCCUACGGGAGAAAGUGGGGGGUCUUCGGACCUCACGCUAUUAGAUGAGCCUAGGUCGGAUUAGCUAGUUGGUAGGGUAAAGGCCUACCAAGGCGACGAUCCGUAACUGGUCUGAGAGGAUGAUCAGUCGCACUGGAACUGAGACACGGUCCAGACUCCUACGGGAGGCAGCAGUGGGGAAUAUUGGACAAUGGGCGCAAGCCUGAUCCAGCCAUGCCGCGUGUGUGAAGAAGGCCCUCGGGUCGUAAAGCACUUUAAGUUGGGAGGAAGGGCUUACAGCGAAUACCUGUGAGUUUUGACGUUACCGACAGAAUAAGCACCGGCUAACUUCGUGCCAGCCGCCGCCGUAA